ensembl:lncRNA
GCACAGUUUGGGUUUGAGUUAAUUUAUUUAUUUAAACAGGGACAAUAUAAUUUAUUUAACAUGUCAUGUAAGCUACCAGAAGAAUAUACAAUAAAAAAAAGAAAGAAAAAAAAACAUGAAUUUAAAUUUAAAAUAGCUUGUGCAUAUUAGAAUGAUUUCUGAAGAUCACGUGACCCUGAAGACUGGAGUAAUGAUGCUGAAAAUUCACAGCAAUAAAUAAAAUUUUAACAAAUAUUUAACAGAAAACAGCAGUUUUAAAUUGUAAUAAUAUAUCACAUGUAUUUUUGAUACAUUAAACAUUAAAAAUCUUAAUUAUUCAAAACUUUUUACCAGUACUGUAAAUGUUUCAGAUUUAAUGGACAUUUUUUGUUUGUUUGUUUGCAGUCCCUAUCUGAGACAUUUGUGAAAGAUUUAUGAAAUGAUGAGCUUUUUCUCAAAAAGAGGCAUCAGACGUCAAAUUUAACAUGAGACUUUAAUGCUCUGCUCUCACUGUGCUUUGUGUGUGUGUGCAGCUUUUCCGUCUGAUCCGUCAGCAGCAGAUCCUCCAUGAAUAAAAAGAGCUUGUAAAUAAAAGGCGAUCUGGAGCUGAGCGAAGCCGCACAAAAGCUUUGAUCCUAUUAUGAGUCACAAAAGCGUAAUCAAUAUCCAAUCAGGAGAAAUACGACACGAGGGCCUCUGUUGUCAGAGGUUACGUCUCCAUAGCAACAGGCCAGGUGUGGCGGAGGACGAGAUGCGUGCUAUUGAUGUGAGUUUAGGAAGCGUCGAUGAGGGAUACAGAGAGCCAGAGAUAAUUAAAACCAGGGAUGCGGAGGAAGACGACGGAUUAGAGAGGGUGGCAUAAAAACAGCGAGAUCGAGCGCAGAGUGAGUGAUGGAGAGACACACAGCACACCUGAGACACCAGCGGAUGAUGACAUCCUCACCGCAGACAAGACACUGAUGGGAUCAAGUCCAGUCUAGAACCAUCUGAGUGACAUGAAAACCAGACCAGACAUGAUGUCACAAUACAAACAGAAAAUAUACAUAUAACAUAACAUCAGUUGAUGGCAUAAUGAUAGAACAGCAUGGAAAAAAUCAAUAAUGAAUCAAAUAAAAAAGAUGCAGUCUUUUUUCUGAAAAAUUUA